rnacentral:rRNA from 1 species
GUGAGGAAUUUUGCGCAAUGGGGGCAACCCUGACGCAGCAACGCCGCGUGAGUGAAGAAGGCCUUCGGGUCGUAAAGCUCUGUCAAGCGGGAAGAAAUCUUUCCGGGCUAAUAUCUCGGGAAGUUGACGGUACCGCUGGAGGAAGCACCGGCUAACUCCGUGCCAGCAGCCGCGGUAAUACGGAGGGUGCAAGCGUUAUUCGGAAUCACUGGGUGUAAAGCGCGUGUAGGCGGUUUGGUAAGUCAGGUGUGAAAGCUUCGGGCUUAACCCGAAAAGUGCACUUGAAACUGCCAGGCUUGAGUUCCGGAGAGGAAGGUGGAAUUCCCAGUGUAGAGGUGAAAUUCGUAGAUAUUGGGAGGAACAUCGGUGGCGAAGGCGACCUUCUGGACGGUGACUGACGCUGAGACGCGAAAGCGUGGGGAGCAAACAGGAUUAGAAACCCGGGUAGUCC